GUUAUAGUAAAGAGUUCUGACAGUUUUCAGAGGAAAGGAAAAGUGAAACAUAAAACGUCAAGUAGCUUCAAUCUUCAACUCAAUGUGGAGAUGUCAAGGAGAUUAAUUCAUCUGGAGUUGCAGAUGUUGGAUCAAUACGGUAAAGGAAUUCAUCUGUGUGGAGAAUGUUACGAUGCCUUUCUCCACCUAUGGAGUGUUUGCCAUCUGAGUUCCUAACCCAUAUUCGGUCGAGACCAAUUCUGGAGCACAGGAAAUAUUGUCUUUUGGAAUAUUAAACUUCUAGAAAUAAAAGAUAUGGUCUUGCCACUCGAUGAUGGUAUUAAGUUCAACCUUUGAUAGAUCUUUCGAACCUGAUUGGGAAUUUUGCAUUCAGCUGUCGCCAACACUUCCCAGAAUUUCCCAGUAAGGCGCAAAAAAUUACAAGACGGUUGUCUCCUAAAGCUGUUGAAUAAUCUAAGCUCUACAAAAUUUUCAAGUUGAAAACAAAGAUUAAAACACUUUAAUGCUCAGAAGAUUCAAGAAAUAACAAGUAUCCGCAUAAAGGAAAUCUUAUCAUGGUGUUUUGUCCUCGCAUCCCUUAUUCGUGCAUUGGCCAUCAGAAUUUCACUCCUAUCGCUUUUCUACGAACUAUGCAUUGAAGUGUUAUACAUGACUCUUUCAGCUUCAGAGGUGGAUUACCAGUUAGGCAGCUGCCUAGGUGUUUAUCAUUAGAAAUCUCUUUCAGUAAACAGAUGUCGGACAUGCCAUGUUUCUUGGAUGUGAAGCAUUAAGACAAAAUUUUCCCAAAGUUAACAACAUAAAUCAUCAACGUUCUGGUUAAUGCAAGUUAAAAAUAGGCUGAAAUACAUUAAACUGUCCAAUUAAAGUUCCCUGCUUAAUAUGCCCUGCUUGGAUCACAAUGUCUAAAUCCGCCACUGCUCAUCCUGUGCAUAGUGUUCAAUUGUAUCACAGCGUGAGUGUUGCAUAAACAUAUUGAUGAUAAAGAGAGAAGAUCAAAUGGAAUAGCGAAAUAAAUGUUCUUAAAAAAAAAAAA